rnacentral:rRNA from 1 species
GAUGAACGCUGGCGGCGUGCUUAAUACAUGCAAGUCGAGCGAACGGACGAGAAGCUUGCUUCUCUGAUGUUUGCGGCGGACGGGUGAGUAACACGUGGAUACCCUACCUAUAAGACUGGGAUAACUUCGGGAAACCGGCGCUAAUACCGGAUAAUAUUUUACACCGUAUGGUUCAUAAGUGAAAGACGGUCUUGCUGUCACUUAUACAUGGCUCCGCGCUGCAUUAGCUAGUUGGUAAGGUAACGGCUUACCAAGGCAACGAUGCAUAGCCGACCUGAGAGGGUGAUCGGCCACACUGGAACUGAGACACGGUCCAGACUCCUACGAGAAGCAGCAGUAGGGAAUCUUCCGCAAUGGGCGAAAGCCUGACGGAGCAACGCCGCGUGAGAGAUAAAGGUCUUCUGAUCGUAAAACUGUGGUAUUAGGGAAGAACAUAUGUGUAAGUAACUGUGCACAUCUUGACGGUACCUAAUCAGAAAGCCACGGCUAACUACGUG